CCUACGGGUGGCAGCAGUGGGGAAUAUUGGGCAAUGGAGGAAACUCUGACCCAGCAACGCCGCGUGAAUGAUGAAGGUCUUCGGAUUGUAAAGUUCUUUUCUACGGGAAGAAGCAAGUGACGGUACCUUAGGAAUAAGCCUCGGCUAACUACGUGACAGCAGCCGAGGUAAUACGUAGGAGGCAAGCGUUAUCCGGAAUGACUGGGCGUAAAGGGUGCGUAGGGGGUUUGACAAGUUGAUAGAGUAACUCCGGGGAUUAACCUCGUCACUACUACCAACACUGUUGGAAUCGAGUGCAGGAGGGGCAAAUGGAAUGCGUAGUGUAGCGGUGGAAUGCGUAGAGAUUAGGAGGAACACCAGUGGCGAAGGCGAUUUGCUGGACUGUAACUGACACUGAGGCACGAAAGCGUGGGGAGCAAACAGGAUUAGAUACCCGAGUAGUC
rnacentral:rRNA from 1 species